rnacentral:rRNA from 1 species
AAUAGAUACCCGGGUAGUCCACGCCGUAAACGAUGAGUGCUAAGUGUUAGAGGGUUUCCGCCCUUUAGUGCUGCAGCUAACGCAUUAAGCACUCCGCCUGGGGAGUACGGCCGCAAGGCUGAAACUCAAAGGAAUUGACGGGGGCCCGCACAAGCGGUGGAGCAUGUGGUUUAAUUCGAAGCAACGCGAAGAACCUUACCAGGUCUUGACAUCCUCUGCCAACCCUAGAGAUAGGGCGUUCCCCUUCGGGGGACAGAGUGACAGGUGGUGCAUGGUUGUCGUCAGCUCGUGUCGUGAGAUGUUGGGUUAAGUCCCGCAACGAGCGCAACCCUUGAUCUUAGUUGCCAGCAUUCAGUUGGGCACUCUAAGGUGACUGCCGGUGACAAACCGGAGGAAGGUGGGGAUGACGUCAAAUCAUCAUGCCCCUUAUGGCCUGGGCUACACACGUGCUACAAUGGAUGGUACAAAGAGCUGCGAACCCGCGAGGGUAAGCGAAUCUCAUAAAGCCAUUCUCAGUUCGGAUUGUAGG